rnacentral:rRNA from 1 species
UAGUGAUAGCUGCUUGUUCAGGAAAAGAGCCUAAGCUCUGCCUUAAGUUUUCCUAUUUUACCAAACAAACCCUAAAACUUAAGAGUUAUUCAAAUUAGGCACAGCUUAUUUGAAACAGGAUACAACCUACUACAUUGGGUAAGCAAGAGCAGUAAAAACAAAGUGGGCCCAAAAGCAGCCACCUUCCAAAAAGCGUCAAAGCUUAAUUACUCUAACUAAUAAUCCCUAAAACACUCUCCAACCCCUCAUCCCUACUGAACUAUUUUAUAAAUCUAUAAAAAUAAUUAUGCUAGAACUAGUAACAAGAAGUUGCCCUUCUCCAUAAUGCAAGCAUAAACCAAAACGGACACUCCCUUGGUAAUCAACGUAAAUGCAAGACCAUAACAACACAACCAGAAAACCUUAUGGCCCCACACGUUACCCUAACACUAGAGCAUUACAGGAAAGAUUAAAAGAUAAAGAAGGAACUCGGCAAAUUUUAACCCCGCCUGUUUACCAAAAACAUCGCCUCCUGAUUAAAUAUAGGAGGUCCAGCCUGCCCAGUGAUAAAAUUCAACGGCCGCGGUAUACUAACCGUGCGAAGGUAGCAUAAUCACUUGUUCUUUAAAUGGGGACUCGUAUCAACGGCAUCACGAGGGUUAUACUGUCUCCUCUAUCCAAUCAGUGAAACUGAUCCCCCCGUGAAGAAGCGGGGAUUUAACCAUAAGACGAGAAGACCCCAUGGAGCUUUAAACCCAACAUACACCCCUACAUUCAAACCAACUUAACCAAAGAGGCCUGUACGUCGGUUUUAGGCUGGGGGGGCCACGGAGUAAAACUAAACCUCCAUAACAAAUGGGCUAAUACCCUAAUCUAUGACUUAUAAGUCUAAGAAUCACCAAAAUGAUGUUUAAUGACCCGAUAAUUCGAUCAAUAGACCAAGUUACCCUGGGGAUAACAGCGCAAUCCACUUCAAGAGCCCCUAUCGACAAGUGGGUUUACGACCUCGAUGUUGGAUCAGGGUAUCCUAGUGGUGCAGCCGCUACUAAUGGUUCGCUUGUUCAGCGAUUAAAACCCU